CAAUCAUCGAAUCCUUUAAGUUGGAAGAGACCUUUGAAGGGCAUCUCACUUAGUCCAGCUCUCCUGCACUGAACAGGGACACCAUCAGUGCUCAAAGCCCCAUCCCCUGACCUUGGGUGCCUGCAGGGACACAGCAUCACAUGUCUUUUGAUAUUAAGACACAAAAAACAUACUUUUUCCACCUUGGGUGCCUGCAGGGACACAGCAUCCACCACCUCUCUGGGCAACCUGUGCCAGUGCCUCACUGUUCUUAUUGUAAAAACUCCUUCCUUAUAUCCAAUGUAAAUUUCCCUUCUUUCAGUUUGAAAUCAUUUCCCCUUGUCCUGACACAGCAGGCCCUGCUAUAGAAGCUGUCCCGUUCCUUCUUACAGCCACCCUGUAGAUACUGAGCGGUCACUCAGCUCUCCUGGAGAGCUCUCUUCUCUAGGCUGCACAGCCCCAGCUCUCAGCCUGUCCUCACAGGGGAGGCAACCACAGAACCAUGGAAUAUCCCAAGAUGAAAGAGACCCAUAAAGGUCAGUGUCUCCAACUCCUACUGCCACGCAGGAACACCCAAUAAUCAAACCAUACCAUCAUUAGGUUGACCACACUUAGAUAGUUCUUCAGGUAUGGUAUGCCAGGCAGUUUAUGGCUGUGGUUACUUGGCUGCUGGUAGCCAGUUGUGGAUGUCCUUUAUCAGCAUGCAUUAACUCAUGGCCAUGGAAUAGAGCAUCAGUGAGCAGCUGGGUGUGGGGAAGCAGCUUCACAAACGGCACUUGACAACUCAGCAUUUUCUUGGAGGAGAGAAAGGGUGAGCAGUAAGACAGCAGUGCCUGCUGGCAGCACAACCAUUGUGGAGCUGGCACUGCAACCUGUCUGCUGGCAAUACUACCCUUGUCAAGGACGAGGGUCAUCUGUGAAGAACUGUGGGUAUCUGGGCAGUAAAAAAAGAGUAGGGUAGAUAAAUGAUGUACAUGGGGAAGCCUAGUCCUAACUGUACCUAACUGGUAUCUGAACCUCUCAUGAAAAGCAGUUUGGUAGGUCUGGGCCCUGCACCCUGAAAAUGAAUUACUUGGAAAGGAUGUGCCUAAGGCCUGACUCAUCCCAAGGGCUCAAAGAGAAUGGACUGGACUGGCUGUCCAAGUAUGUGUGGUCUGGUGUGCGGUGGUAGGAAGCCUUGUUAGAAGGUCCCCCUUGCACAGUGCCAUGGGAGCAAUGCACACCACAUCUCUACUCAGUGCAGGCUGCAGAUAGAAGGUGUUUCUCUGGGGCAUGGCAAGAUUGUCCAGGCAAUGGGGAGAGCCCAUGUAGUCAGUGAAUGAGCACCCUCUGACGAUGCAGCAGUCUCCCUGUGCUGGAAAUAGUUGGGGGCUGUGGGAGUGUUGCAGAGGAGGAAGCUCAGACUUGCCUCAUUUUUCAUUUUCCCUCUGUGUUUGCCUGUGGCCAGUGGAGGAAACAGGGCUGAGCGGAUUUGGUAUCCCAGUCAGUGUGCCUCUUCCUCCUAUUCUCUGAGAAUCAGCCUCUGCUGAUAUUUACUAUCUGGAGCCAUGUGUGAUGGGUUCAUCUGUACUGGGAGUCACUUGCGGAGCAGCUGCUGUGCUGCAUUUACAUUUCCCCUCGCAAUAUAUUUAUUCCUGUGUCCAGAAAGUAUUAAUAGCAAUCUGCAUGCGGUUGCAUAUCUGCAACAAAACCUUUUAUUUGUCCUUGAGUGAAAAUAUAUCCUCCACGAGAAACACCCAAAGUCAUCUCGUUUUCCUUGGGUCGGUCUACUGAAGGGAGUGGCAAUGCAGAAAAAUCUCUCCCCUCUCCCUCUGAUGGCUCAGGUGGAUGCAUGAAUUUUAGCCGCAUUUGAGUUGUGCAGUCAGCAGCUGAGCGGCCAAUAUGCACAGGCUGAUUAAGUGGUUGGCUGCUUCCUCUUAGCAUGACUAAGGAAUUGGAUUUUGCCCAAUGAUUUCAAACGUUUUUUAUUGGAGAGAAGACAUUUAUUGCAUCCUUGGGGACGUGAGGCAAAAAAAAAAUAAAUAAAUACCGUGCCCUAUGAGAUGAGGCUUCCGUUGGGUUUUUAGUUUGAUGCACCUAUUUCUUGGCACUACCCUAAAAUAAUUAAUAAAUGGCAGAGCAUUAUUGGUGAAAAAUGAAGCAUGAGGGCUGGAGGAAAUGAAGGGAGUUCAGCUGCCUCUGUGCCCGACUGCUCUGCUUGCGCCCACCUCUGCCAUAGCGCCUGGGUCAGAGCCGCACUGAGUCAUCCUGGUGCACAGAGUGGGGCACGCGGGGUAAAUUGAUUCUCAUCUCCCUGCGAGAUUUCCUCAUUUGUUCUUUAUCUGUAGGAGGGGAUUUCCAUAGUAAUGCGACCUGUCUCCGUGCUCCAUUAAUCGUCUCCCAGCUGAUGUAGAUCGUCCCGGUUGAACAGAUAGAUAAUGGAGAAGUGUUGAGUGCUUGAGCGACGCAUCUGAAAGGAACAGGUAGGCAAGAAUUGAAGUGCAAAUGUUUAAAGACAAAACCCGACAUUCUUCCCGGACAGGAUGUCUUCAUGCUAGUUUACUGUUAUUUUCUAGUUGCAGAACGCGAUAGGAUGAGAAAUUAGAAUGUAAAUGUUUUAUUUUUUAGUGUUGCACGUGACUUCUCUGGUAAGUUACUUUUCAUGAACAGAACUCUUAAUGACCUUUAAUACCAACAGCAGUCACUGACUUUAUGUGUGCCAGUACGAAAAUGUGAAGUUGUGAUGAAAAAUGCUGUUUUUUACGGUGUCAGAGGUCACCAAAAAGCUGACUGCACAUUUCUGUUGCGAGUUGGUUAGUCCAGAAAAAGAAAUGCUCCUCCAGGAUUUUGCGUCUUCCAUCCACAUAAGGGAGUGAGAAAAUGUAGCGAAACAACAAACGAACACAGAACUAGGAAGCUCAACAUCUUUUUUGAUGCCCUCUUCAAUGCGAAGACUAACGAAAAUAGCAGGAAGGAGAUCUGGCCGUACUGAUGGUGAAAGGCCGAGUUUUCUGGAAUAAAGUGUAGACUUCUGAUCUUCCUGAAGUAAUUAAGGAGAUUGAAAAUUUUUAGCAAUACCAUAAAGAGCUCAUUUCUGUGAUUCCAAGUCAGCCUUAGUUGUUCUAAUGUGCAUAGCAGCUGGAAGAGAAAGCCACGCGAUGGCUGAAGAAGUUGUCUGCAGCAAGAAAAUCACAUCUCAGUUCCCAGGAUUUCAGAGAGAUGAGUCUCCUUCAAUAGUUACAAACCUCUGCAAAACGUUUUGGUGCCUGUUGUGCACUGGUUUGAUCGGAUCUUGGUGAUUUCCUCCUGCAUGCAAUCCAGGGCCUGGUUCUGCUCUUCAUGAUGGAUGAUGCUACCAGGAACCGUGGCUGAUUCAUUGUGCUGAAGGAGGAGAGAAUGGGGAUGUGGAGUUGAUCUUCAUAAUUGGCCUACGUAUUUUGGGUAACAUGUAACGUGUUACAUUUAUUCUAGGCUCACAGCAACCUAGUUGUGAGAAAAAUGUGGAACCAACAUAUGGCUUGGAACUGCUAGCAAUGCAGGGCUAGCAGGAGGCACUUCUGAGGUGCCACGCCAUCCACAACAUUCGAAUUUUAAAUGUGAUCUGAGUGUGUCCUCUGUGUGUGACCUGACAAUAAUUAUUGAUCGGGGUCUUAAGUCGCUGCUUUGAAUUCCUUGGGUCAGUUGGUUUUGUCGUCUUUGUUUUGCUUGCUUAGGGGAAAGGUUGUUUGUGCUGGGAGGGGAGGAAUUGCACCCACCAUAGCACUUCAACAUGUAGCACUAACAGAUUUAUUCCUUGGGACAAAAAAAAAGGAGGGGGUUUCAAAGGUUCUGAUACUCCUUUUUAAACCAAAACAGUUGGCAAGGAAAAAUGGAAGAGGAGUUAGUGAUGCUCUUGACUACUUUCUUACAUGUCUGAGACUAUAGGUGUGUUAAUUCCCCUCCGUCUAAGUGUUCCUGACUGCUCCGUGCCUUGCCCCGAGCGGAAAGAUAAAGAAGAGAUCCUUCCAUUUGUAUCAGACAUGGCUUCCUUCCUGGGUUGCCUUUCUUUGUGGCGUAGCACGGCGCUGGCAGAGCUCCUCACGUGGCACAGGAGCCGUGCUGACUCACGCGCUCACACGGGAAAUCCCAGCAUGCUUUCUGGCUGCUUCUCAUUCAAACGAUUCUUCCCAGCCUUCUGCUUUUGGGAAGGGAGCCUCAGUCUGCACCUCACACCCCGGCACUCUGCUGCUGUAAUUCAGCACAAAGAUAGCACAGAAUGGCCUCAGCUGAGAAUAUCUUUAGCACAGUUAAGAACGUGUCAGUCUCCAGCCAGAAGCACAGAAGCAGCACACAUCUUUAGAUGAUACAAGCCAACCUGCUGCCUGGAGCUGGUGGGAUCUGCCUUCAUAUUUGUCAUCUCUUCACAUCAUCGUGUCUCCAUACAGCCGACUGAUGAAGAAACUUUUCUGACUUCUGAUCAUCCCUUCAUACGUUUCUGUCCUUUCCAGUUCUUCCAUCUCCUUUUUGAGUUGAAGACAUAGAGGUCAAAUAUUGCUCAGAGGCACUAAAAGAGGCAUAUGAAGGAAGAGGCAUUGGUGGAUGUGUUUGGAUAUGCUUAAUGAGGAACAGAGAACAGGCUAGUUGCUAAUUGUUUAUCCAAUGCUGUCACCAGCUGUCUGGAGUCUUCCCAGUGAUGUAGGUGAAAAUGGUGACCUGCACAAGGCCUUCACUACUUCGCAGUCACCUUCUCCUUUGUCCAGGGCCUGGUCCCAGAGGCAGCUUCAGUAAAGGUCCCAGCAAUGCUGUAACCCUUUCCAUAUUGCCUAAUUCAUUGCCUGCCAAGACAUGUUUGAAAUAGCCCUGUCUGCAGCCCUGAGGACAAGAGCUGUGUUAUUAACAGAGUGCUUUUAAAGAAAAAUGGCUACUUUUAUUUCCUCUCUCAUUUAUUUAUUUGUUUGUUUGUUUGUUUCACUCCUGCCCCAAAUGAUCAAGAUAGAGAAGCUAAAUAUUGCUCAGUGGCUUAUGUUGUAUGAUAAAUAUUGUCUGUUUCAAGGUGCUAUCUGAAAGCUCAUUCUCACUCAUUUGCAGACAGAACGGUUAUUUCAGGACGGGCAUAAUAUGGAAAUGUUUCUCCUACCCAUUUCUGGAGUCUUUUUUGGUAUCCUGAGCAGCGCCAGAUAUUGGAAUGGCUAUACUGUGUCUGAGUGAAAAGACAGGGUACCUCAGCAGUGGCAUCUACAGCAGGGACAACCACAUGGGUUGCUCUAAAUCAGGACCAGGAAGAUUGUACUGCACGAGAGACUGCCAAAGCUGACAUGGGCCAUGAUGUCAGACUGCUGGAGAAACACCUGGAGGAAUGAGGGGCAGUGAGGGGCACUCAUAGAAGCAAUAAAAGGGCAGAGAAAGCAUCAAUUUACCAGUAGGAACAGUAUGCUAGUAAGAUGUGCUGUGCUCCUUUUUCAUACAUUCUGGGCCAUCCCUGUGGGCGGCAUGACGGUGAUACUUCAGACCAACAUAUAACACUGUGCAGCUCAGUACUGCCUUGAGAGCUGCACCACCGGUGAUAAGAGACAAUGCAACACGUGCUGCUUUGCCCUUGAGUCCCUCCCUGUCCCCUGGUUCUGCUCUACAACCCAUUUAUUUUCCCACCUGAAUGCCAUCUCUGUGCUUUCCUUUAACUUUCACCAAAUCCUGCAGGGGUCUGGUAUUGCAGGAGAGUUUCCUCCUCUGGCUGCACACCUGAGAAAGAGCUUUAACGAAACUAGAAGAUGGCCAGAGAUUUUGUGUUCCUGAUAUUCCUCGCAGCAAAUAGAUAUCCACUGGGGAAAUCAGGUUAUUUUCUUAUCUCAGGAGCUGCUGUAGAUGAUCUUCCUUCAAAUCCUUACCAGAACUGAGCCACUGCUGCUGGUGGCAAUUAAAACACAUGCCAUGAAAGGAACUGAUGGAGUUAUGACUGUGUUGGUGAAAUGCUGGUCCCCACAAAGACCCUGCCCACCCCCACCAGCCUGGACCAUGACACGAUUCAUCCUCCAUCACUCUGGAGCUGGGCAGCUUCUCAUGGCCAGGUCAGAACCAGCACCUGGGCUGAAGGCAUUGGUUACGAAGAGUAAAACAGAGAGAAACAAACAGCAGAACUCUCUCCAGAAGUGCAAACAGUGCUUGUGAGAGGCAAGAAGGCAGCACACAUUGAUGGCAGUGCAGUUUCUAUUAGAUGAGUAUACUUGACAUGACCCUGGCUGCAUCCGUGAUCAGCAGACCACAAUACCACCACAUUGUCAGCUGCACCCUCAGAGUCUGUGUGAGCUUUGCUUGGAAUUAAGAGCCAGACUUUGUUUGUGCAACAGUCAUUUAUUUCUGCUUUCUUUACUUGUUGUCCAGCAUAGGCCCUGCUUAUGGUUCUGGGCUCUUCCAGGACUGGGGAGAACACAAGGCGCUGCUGGCCCUUCUCUUUGGCUGUGCAGGUGCACAGUGGAGUCAGUGAGCCCACUGAUGAACUCUGCUGUGCUGCAGGUUGGCUUGCACAGAUGAUGCCCACUCACAUGUCACAGCAGAUGGGAUACGGCACCUCUUCCUGAGUCAUAGUGUCAGCUCACUGCAGCCAGCUGGAGAGAGCUGAGGAUGUGUAUGAUAUACUCCAGCCUCAUCCUUGCUCCUCAUGCCUUGCAUCAGGGGAGGGGAGCCAGCCAUUCAGCCAUUCCAUGAGAAUACAGCCUGCUGGGAGGUCCCCACCAUCCUUCCUACAGCAGGGAUGUCUCUGGGCUGGCGCUGGCUGGCUGCUCAGGAAGGUAGAGAUGAAGCUGCAAGCCAAAGAUGGAGCCUAGGGCCAGCAGAGGAGCAGAAGUUAUUUGUGUCUUAGGUAUCCUGCUCUCUGCUCUCUGGUCCUGGUGAGACAAGCAUUCAGGAGAGCCAUUCUGCAGUACUGGUACACAAGGUCUUCAUCACAGUGUCCACGAAGAGAGCAACAGACAGUUCUCAACCUGUCUGAUUGCUGCUGAGUGCAUGGUUUGUACUUGCUUCACUUCUGCCUCUCUCACUGCUUUACGGCUCAUUUGGCUGAGCUCUUCAUACAAAAUAGCGUGUUAGACCAGCUCUGUGCUGGGAGUGCUGCAGGAAGGCAUUGGAUGGCUGGGAAAGGGAUGGGCAAAGGGGACUCUGCUUUCAGCAUCCACACUGCCUGCCUACCAUGCUAUUGCGCUUGUUUGUUUUGCUAACCCAUAUGGAAUAAUAAUAAUGUUUCAAGUCAAAGAAGCACACCUAUGAAACCAACCCUUCCUGGUCAGUGACUCUGCCCCCAAUCUUCCCACAGCAUGUCCAACCACUGUGCUGCAACUCUUUGCUUUGUGUCAGACAAGGAAGAAUGAGAAUAGCAUGUGCCUGAUAUUUGGUGAUACAUUGGUAUAUUCAGUACUGAUAUAUAUUGAUGCAUAUUUGGUGGUAUAUUGACAUGUUUGGCAGUAUAUGAAUAUAUUCAGUGAUGAUGAAUGAGCAAAGGAGAUACUUCCAGAGCUCCAUUUUCAACCUCCUUUCAGCCUCUUGGGGGAGCACCCAGAGGACAUUUGCUCUCUCAUUGCUGGCCCCAUUCAUGUCUGCAGUCUAACAGACUCACACAUGAACCAAGGCCAGUUUUAGAAAUCCUUGGUGGAAGUACAGUAUGUCAGACAUAAUUCCACUGUUUGGAAACAUUCCUUUUUAUUACUUGAUAUUUAGAUCAUUUCUGUCCAUGUUUAUGUUUGUGCGCUUCCUAACAGGCAUCUAUUUGCAGAACAGAGUAUGAGAAGUGCUUCUGACAGGCACAUGUAGUGGCUGGUUUCAGAGAGAUGGGGCAGGACUCGCCUUGCAGACCUUUUAGACUUAAUUAGGAAGAGUUGUGGGGAGAAACAGCUGCACCCACAUUUUCUUUUUUUUCUGUUUCCCACUGCUUUUGGCUGCUAUACUGUGGGAUGCACUUUUUGUGUGUGUGUGUACAGAGCAAAGUUCAUCUGAGCCUUUACAGCACGGCAUUAUGGCAGAUGGAAACCAUUCCCAGCUGCCAGCUGAUCUGGUUGCCCUUGGUGUAGAGCAGGACACUGAAUAGAUAACCCUCUGCCAAAGCAACAGGUGCUGUGUCAGUGUUAGGGGUUUUGUCUUUGUGUGGUUAUAGCUGCCCCUCUAGCCUAUGCUUAGGAAAGGCGAUCUUCCUUCUUCAUGCCAUGGUGACCAAUAGGCUGUCCUGAAGCUUUUUGCUUUUUUGCUGGUUUGCUCUGGCUCCUGCAGCAGCACCAGGCAAGCCAGGAGGCUUAGUUGUCAAUGAGAAGGGAGAUGAAUGUGGGGGUGCUACCAAGAGCAGAAAGGAAAGGAACAAAAAAGGCCGCAUCUCCUGUGCAGCCCUCCUGCUCAAAUGCCACCAUAAACAGUUUUUAUUUUAUUUUUUUAAUAUAGAAAAUGAUUUAUUUUCUAAUCAAAUGGCUGAGGGGUUUGAUUCAUCUCUUGUGAUCCUCCAAAACCAUAAGCUGUUUGUGUAAGUUGCUUGCUGAUUAAACUCUGUACACUGCUGUAAAUCAAAUCCUGCAUUUCCCAGAGGUGAUUGGAAGCGAUCGUGCUGAGCUCUCCAGCAUUAAGGCCACAUUAUUUCCUUCCGUCCAAGGUGUUUUCCAGGAUUGCACAAAGCAAGUGGAGUUUGAAGGAAGUCUUAUUUCACAUUUUGGAAAUGAGUAACUUCUGGGUUAUGUUCAAGCUUUUUGGUAACCAGAAUGGUACAUUACUCAUCUGUUCUCAUUAAAUGGGAUUCAGCAAUGGCUGAAGUCCCAGGAACUUGUGUAUGAAGAAUACAAACAAGAUGGUUCUUUUGCUUCCUUGUGCUUUAACACUGCAUUGUAUCUCUGCAUGGUUUUAAGGUGUCAGGAAUGGAUCCAGAAGGCAAUCACGUCACUUUGUGCUCCUGUGUUUGGGCAAGUUGUUACUACAUAGGCAUCAGCAGCAAAAGGUGAAAUCCAGAUCUACGCAUCCCCCUGUCUGAGUGGCUGCUUAUAGACAAAAUAAUUGCUUGUAGUUAAUUUGGAUAUAUGUAUCUUCCAUUUGUAAGGUAGUAUAUACAGAGACACAUCUGAUUAAGUGACAUUCUGCCAUUAUUGCCUUUUAUUAAACAAAAAGAAACUGGAGAGUAACUCUUAUAGCAGUGAAUUGGAAAUAAAUGAUAAAAACCAGGUUCCUUUCUCCCCAUACAAUUUUGUUCAAGUGUCACAUAUACAAGGACGUGGAUGUGACUGUUACUGGCCACAGUAACCCCAUGCAGUGCUAUAGGCUUGGGGCUGAGUGGCUGGAUGACUGUGAAGAGGAAGUGGACCUGGGGGUGUUGGUUGAUGCUCAGCUGAACAUGAGACAACAGUGUGCCCGGGUGGCCAAGAGGGCCAACAGCAUCCUGGCUUGCCUAUCUUGUGGUUUUCUAUGACUGAUGUCAUCAGAGGACUAAAGAAGAGCAAGUGAUGCCAUCUGCCUGGACUUCUGGAAGGACUUUGAUAUGGUCCCACACCACAUUCUUACUUCCAAACUGGGGAGACAUGGAUGUGAAGAAUUGAUUAUUUGGUGUAUAAAGGCUUGGUUGGAUUUCCACAGCUAAAGGGCUGUGGUCAGUAGCUCUAUGUUCACAUGGAUGUUGGUGAUGAGUGGUGUCCUCCAAGGGUCCAAACUGGGACCAUUGUUCUUCAACUUCUUUAUCAGUGAUAUAGACAGUGGAAUUGAGGGCACCCUUACCAAGUUUUCUGACAAUACAAAGUGAAGUGGUGCAGCUCACCCAGCAGAAGGAAGGGACACCACUCAAAGGGACCUGGACAGACUUGAGAAGUGUGUCCAGGUGAACCUAAUGAGGUUCAACAAGGCCAAGUGU